rnacentral:lncRNA from 1 species
AUUGUCUUCAACUACCCCAAAAAAAUCUCCUGGAAACUACUCUCUGAAAGAAGUUGGAGAAAAAUUAUUAAUGCACUUGAAGAAGAUCAAGAAAAAAGAAAGCGUGAGUAAUGUUUUGGGAUCAUCAAUAUCACUGUCUUCCACCUCUACAUCUUGCCACACUGGAAGGUCUUCGGGAGCAAUAACACAUACAGUUGUCACCUCCGGUUAUAACAAUGACUUCCUCUGGAAUACAGACUGAAGAAACUGCCUGGGACUGUUUUACAGUUGAGUUAUUUUUUAAUAAGUAGAGGAUGGACACUAUAAUAAUGAUAAAAAGUAUAGUAUAGUAAUUAUAGUAACAUAGUCGUUUACUAUCAUUCUGAAGUAUUAUGUACUGUGCAUGAUUGCAUGCUAUAUGUUUAUAUGACUGGCAGUGGAGUACACUUGUUUACUCCAG